rnacentral:misc_RNA from 1 species
GAUGAAGAACGUAGCGAAACGCGAAAGGUAAUGCGAAUUGCAGAAUCAGUGAGUCAUCGAAUCUUUGAACGCACAUUGCGCCCCCUGGUAUUCCGGGGGGCAUGCCUGUCCGAGCGUCAUUACAACCCUCAAGCUCAGCUUGGUGUUGGGCCCCGCCGCCCCGGCGGGCCCUAAAGUCAGUGGCGGUGCCGUCCGGCUCCGAGCGUAGUAAUUCUUCUCGCUCUGGAGGUCCGGUCGUGUGCUCGCCAGCAACCCCCAAUUUUUUUCAGGUUGACCUCGGAUCAGGUAGGGAUACCCGCUGAACUUAAGCAUAUCAAUAAGCGGAGGA